rnacentral:rRNA from 1 species
CAGCCGCCACGGGAAUACGAAGGGGGCUAGCGUUGCUCGGAAUGACUGGGCGUAAAGGGCGCGUAGGCGGCGGCCAAAGUCAGGCGUGAAAUUCCCGGGCUCAACCUGGGGGCUGCGUUUGAUACUUGGUUGCUUGAGUGGGGAAGAGGGUCGUGGAAUUCCCAGUGUAGAGGUGAAAUUCGUAGACAUUGGGAAGAACACCGGUGGCGAAGGCGGCGACCUGGUCCUUUACUGACGCUGAGGCGCGAAAGCGUGGGGAGCAAACAGGAUUAGAUACCCCAGUAGUCCCUGUCUCUUAUAC